AUUGAACGCUGGCGGCAGGCCUAACACAUGCAAGUCGAACGAGUGGCGGACGGGUGAGUAAUGCUUGGGAAUCAAGCUUAUGGGGGGGGAUAACUACGGGAAACUGUAGCUAAUACCGCGUACCAUAGGCUGAGCCCAAGGGGGAUUAGGUGUGUGGGGAGGUAAGGGCUCACAAAGCCGACGACCUAUAGCUGGUCUGAGAGGAUGACCAUCCAAACUGGAACUGAGACACGGCCCAGACUCCUACGGGAGGCAGCAGUGGGGAAUAUUGCGCAAUGGGGGCAACCUGACGCAGCCAUGCCGCGUGAAUGAAGAAGGCCUUCGGGUUGUAAAGUUCUUUCGGUAGCGAGGCGUUAACUACAGAAGAAGCACCGGCUAACUCCGUGCCAGCAGCCGCGGUAAUAC
rnacentral:rRNA from 1 species